AGAUUGAACGCUGGCGGCAUGCCUAACACAUGCAAGUCGAACGGGAGUAGCAAUACUCUAGUGGCGGACGGGUGAGGAAUACGUAGGAAUUUGCCCUUAAGUGGGGGAUAACCCGGGGAAACCCGGAUUAAUACCGCAUGACCUCGAAGGAGCAAAGUGGGGGAUCGCAAGACCUCACGCUUUUGGAGAAGCCUACGUCGGAUUAGCUAGUUGGUGAGGUAAUGGCUCACCAAGGCGACGAUCCGUAACUGGUCUGAGAGGAUGAUCAGUCACACCGGAACUGAGACACGGUCCGGACUCCUACGGGAGGCAGCGAGUGGGGAAUAGUUGGACAAGUGGGCGCAAGGCCUGGACUCCAGCAAUGCCGCGUGUGUGAAGAAGG
rnacentral:rRNA from 1 species